rnacentral:misc_RNA from 1 species
GAUGAAGAACGCAGCGAAAUGCGAUAAGUAAUGCGAAUUGCAGAAUUCAGUGAGUCAUCGAAUCUUUGAACGCACAUUGCGCCCUGUGGUAUUCCGCAGGGCAUGCCUGUUCGAGCGUCAUUUCAACCCUCAAGCUCUGCUUGGUGUUGGGCCCUGCCCGCUCGCGGCCGGCCCUAAAGACAGUGGCGGUGCCGUCUGGCUCUAAGCGUAGUACAUCUCUCGCUCUGGUGCCCGGCGGUGUCCUGCCAGAACCCCCCAACUCUGUGGUUGACCUCGGAUCAGGUAGGGAUACCCGCUGAACUUAAGCAUAUCAUAAGCGGAGGA